UCUGUGCGAGGUUUAAUGCAGAGUUUGGCCUGCCCACUGAUAAUUUUUAAAGGGCCGCGGUAAUUUGACCGUGCGAAGGUAGCAUAGUCAAUAGUCUCUUAAUUGGGGGCUGGAAUGAAGGGUUGGACAAGAAAUAAGCUGUCUCUAAGGCGGUAGUUGAACUUUACUUUUAAGUGAAAAGGCUUAAAUAAAUUAAAGGGACGAUAAGACCCUAUAAAACUUAACAAGCUGUGCUCUUGCUUUUUGAAUUUUAGGUUUAAGUAGAAGCUGGGGCUUUUUUGUUGUGUUGGGGCGAUAGAGAUACAAAGAGUAGCUGUCUUUACAAAUAAAAUAAAUAUAUUUAGGAAAAGAUCCUUUAUUAAGGAUUAAAAGAACAAGUUACUUUAGGGAUAACAGCGUAAUUUUUUCUGAGAGUUCUUAUCGACGAAAGUAGUUGCGACCUCGAUGUUGAAUUAAAACUUCUUUUAAAUGUAGCAGUUUAGGUGAGUGGGUCUGUUCGACCUUUAAAGUU
rnacentral:rRNA from 1 species